AAAACGGUCCUUUUCAGGACCAAAAUAUGUUUUCCGUAAGGAUAAA
rfam:Arabis alpina cultivar Pajares scaff_45058_1_contig_0, whole genome shotgun sequence.